GAUGAACGCUAGCGGCAGGCUUAACACAUGCAAGUCGUGGGGUAACAGGGGAGCUUGCUCCCGCUGACGACCGGCAAACGGGUGCGUAACACGUACGCAACCUGCCCCAAAGUGGAGGAUAGCCUUUGGAAACGAAGAUUAAUACUCCAUAGUAUCAUUUGAUGGCAUCUGACAAUGAUUAAAGCUUCGGCGCUUUGGGAUGGGCGUGCGCCUGAUUAGAUAGUUGGUGAGGUAACGGCUCACCAAGUCAACGAUCAGUAGCUGAUGUGAGAGCAUGAUCAGCCACACGGGCACUGAGACACGGGCCCGACUCCUACGGGAGGCAGCAGUGAGGAAUAUUGGUCAAUGGAGGCAACUCUGAACCAGCCAUGCCGCGUGGAGGAUGAAGGUCCUCUGGAUUGUAAACUUCUUUUAUUAGGGAAGAAACCCAAGAUUUCUAUUUUGGUUGACGGUACCUAACGAAUAAGCACCGGCUAACUCCG
rnacentral:rRNA from 1 species